rnacentral:rRNA from 1 species
GAUGAACGCUCGCGAUAGGCUUAACACAUGCAAGUCGAGGGGCAGCAUGGUCUUAGCUUGCUAAGACUGAUGGCGACCGGCGCACGGGUGCGUAACGCGUAUGCAACUUGCCUCACAGAGGGGGAUAACCCGUCGAAAGACGGACUAAUACCGCGUACACUUGGGAUAGGGCAUCCUGACCCAAGGAAAUGAAAUUCGCUGUGAGAUAGGCAUGCGUCCCAUUAGCUAGUUGGUGAGGUAACGGCUCACCAAGGCGACGAUGGGUAGGGGAACUGAGAGGUUGAACCCCCACACUGGUACUGAGACACGGACCAGACUCCUACGGGAGGCAGCAGUGAGGAAUAUUGGUCAAUGGGCGAGAGCCUGUACCAGCCAAGUCGCGUGAAGGAUGACGGUCUUAUGGAUUGUAAACUUCUUUUAUACGGGAAUAACAAGAGCCACGUGUGGCUCCCUGCAUGUACCGUAGGAAUAAGCAUCGGCUAACUCCGU